rnacentral:tRNA from 1 species
GAAGGUGUGGCCGAGUGGUUAUGGCGCUAGUCUAGAAAACUAGUGGGCUCCGCCCUCACAGGUUCGAAUCCUGUCACCUUCG